ensembl:lincRNA
AUGGGAGGCGAGGGAGGCAGAGAGCAUUUGCGAAGGAGCUGGCCCUCCACAGGAGGACAGAGAGUCGGGUGCAAACUCGGGAAUGCGUGUUGGGCAAUUGGUUCUUUUUCUCGGUGUGACAAGAUGCAAGCUGGUCCAUGCAGCUGUGGGAUUUGCCUCCUGCAGGAUUCUGCUAGCCAAGAGCAGCAGGACCAGGCAGCCGCCCAGGGAAGACCAGAGCUCGCUGGAGAAGUGAAGGGUCAUUUCCAGGGACCCAGGCCACCACGGAUAUUCUCCUCUCCUCAGAAAGGUCCUAAACUGAUACGUUCUCUUGGGCCACUGAGAACUGCUCUGAAGUCUGACUCUGUUUUUUUGACUCGGCCAGGGAGAAACUGGCCAGGACGGUCUGCCUUACUAGUCGGUGGGUUGGGUGGUUUGCAAGCAAGUUACCCUUUGGCUAACUAUCCUUAGUACUGAAAUUUCCAAAAUUUCCUUUUGGAGAGGAUGGAUUCUCUCUCCCUCUGCCACAUAAACCCAGCCACAGUGCCAUGAAGAAGGUCCCAUCUGCUCACGGCUUCAGGCUUACAGUAUCGCGUACCCAAAUGUGCGGUGUCCAAGAACUUGGGUGUCAUGCUUCUCCUGCAGCUGAUUCAUCCCUGUGCACGCGAGUGAGUGCUGCGUAAGGAACGGGCUCACACCUCCUGAGCAUUCCAUAGGGACAUCACUUGUGACUGAAGAUCCCCUACCUCUCAAGCAUUCUCCCAUUAGCCCCAAGUCCCAUGACUUAAUCUCUCCUUGAAAUCUCUCUCUCUCUCUCUUUUUUUUUUUUUUUGCUUAAGAACCUUGCCCUAACCUCUUUAAUUUAAAGAGCUUCUUGCUUUGUCGACUCUUUCCCACCCACUUCUGCUUUGGGGUUAGAGGAACAUGGGGGGCUUCAUGUUAGGAAGAUGAGGAAAGAGAGGAAGACUCUGGAUUCUGGAAGGUGGUAGAUUGUCCCUCACCAGUCACCUUGUGACACACUCCCUCAACCCUGGGUCCUGAAACCCUUGUUCUUCAAUGUCAGUCUGCUGAGAUUUGCUGAGUUUAUGAGGCCCCUGCUUGCUCAAGAGUGUUCGUCACCUCACUGACCUCGAAAUAUAUUAAAAGGUCAUGUUCACUUGUCUCUUUCUGCUGUCUGAGGAUUUUUCUCCUUCACCGGAACAGGUAAGGGGAAGCCGUCCUGCCACAUUCUUGUCCCUGCGGAAAGCUUCGUGACUUUGCAAAGUUGAGAACGAGCUCCUUCCUGUUUUCGGAAGUGUGUGGGUCAGUAUGACCGUGCAGUGCGCCUGAACACGUGGGGCAGUCCUCUCCCACCCUGGCCACAGUGGAUACCUUCCUGGGACCCAGUGCCAGUCCUCCUGCCAAGGAAUCAGAGUCUUUUUCCCUGAUCUGGGGAACUAAACUCCCUGACCCCUGGGGCAUUUCCUGGCUCAGAACCCCUCUGAUGUCUCCACAGCACCUGUUUCUGGCUGAGGGUUGGAUAUGCAGGUUCCAGCACCUCCUGGUAUGGGGUGGGUGUUGCCCCAUGUCUGUCUGCAGCCCCUGACCUAAAUCAACAGUUUCCAUACUUUUCUGAUUAUGUACCCACACCCAUUUAGUAUAAGGUUGGAAGGGGGUACAUAGUCCCUGUGUGUUUACUUAUAAACGGCACAUGCUGUAAAUUGUAAAACAUAACUAACAUUGAGGUUAAAAGAAGGAACAGGAUGACAUAAACAACGUUUUAAUUGUUAAUUGCAGUGGCUUUGUAUGAUCACUAGUUACUCCCUCAAGGCAUAAUAUGAAUCUAGGUUUAAGGUCUAUUGUUAACAAAAAGGGAUAUAAAU